GAACAAAUCCUGAUUUAUAAACCAUAUAGGUUAACAAAUCUGGAUUUAUAAACCAUACUGAUGUACAAAUUCUGAUAAACCACAGAGGUGAACAAAUCCUGAUUUAUAAACCAUGGAAAAGCACAAAUGCGGAUUUACAAACCAUGCUGAUGCACAGAUCUUGAUUUAUAAACCACUGAGGUGAACAAAUCUGGAUUUAUAAACCAUGCUAAUGCACAAAUUCUGAUAAACCACGGAGGUAAACAAAUCCUGAUUUAUAAACCAUGGAAAAGCACAAAUCCUGAUUUAUAAACAAUGGAAAAGCACAAAUCCUGAUUUAUAAACCAUGCUGAUGCACAGAUCCUGAUUUAUAAAAAAUUCUGACUCACAAAUCCUGAUUUAUAAACCAUGCUGAUGCACAAAUGUGGAUUUAUAAACCAUGCUGAUGCACAGGUCCUGAUUU